UAAUACGGAGGGUGCAAGCGUUACUCGGAAUUAUUGGGCGUAAAGCGCGUGUAGGCGGUUUGGUAAGUCUGAUGUGAAAUCCCUGGACUCAAUUCAGGAAGUGCAUUGGAUACUGCUAGACUAGAGUUUUGGAGAGGUGAACGGAAUUCCUGGUGUAGAGGUGAAAUUCGUAGAUAUCAGGAGGAACAACAGAGGCGAAGGCGGUUCACUGGACAAUAACUGACGCUCAGACGCGAAAGCGUGGGUAGCAAACAGG
rnacentral:rRNA from 1 species